rnacentral:rRNA from 1 species
UACGUAGGGUGCAAGCGUUAAUCGGAAUUACUGGGCGUAAAGCGUGCGCAGGCGGUUUUGUAAGUUUGUCGUGAAAUCCCCGGGCUCAACCUGGGAACUGCAUUUGUGACUGCAUGGCUAGAGUGCGGCAGAGGGGGAUGGAAUUCCGCGUGUAGCAGUGAAAUGCGUAGAUAUGCGGAGGAACACCGAUGGCGAAGGCAAUCCCCUGGGCCUGCACUGACGCUCAUGCACGAAAGCGUGGGGAGCAAACAGG